rnacentral:rRNA from 1 species
CCUACGGGUGGCAGCAGUGAGGAAUCUUGGUCAAUGGGCGCGAGCCUGAACCAGCCAAGUAGCGUGAAGGAUGACUGUCCUACGGGUUGUAAACUUCUUUUAUAAAGGAAUAAAGUCAGGCACGUGUGCCUUUUUGUAUGUACUUUAUGAAUCAGGAUAGGCUAACUCCGUGCCAGCAGCCGCGGUAAUACGGAGGAUCCGAGCGUUAUCCGGAUUUAUUGGGUUUAAAGGGAGCGUAGAUGGGUUGUUAAGUCAGUUGUGAAAGUUUGCGGCUCAACCGUAGAAGUGCAAUUGAUACUGGCAGCCUUGAGUGCAGUUGAGGUAGGCGGAAUUCGUGGUGUAGCGGUGAAAUGCUUAGAUAUCACGAAGAACUCCGAUGGCGAAGGCAGCUUACUAAACUGCCACUGACGUUGAUGCUCGAAAGUGUGGGUAUCAAACAGGAUUAGAUACCCCAGUAGUC